UGGUGAACAAUGGAACGAACCAGCUUCGAGAUUAGUGGCAUCGUGAUCAAAUGGAUUCUCUUAUCUGGCGGAUACUGGCUUCCCUCGACAAGUAAGAAGAUUAUCUUUGGAGCUUUCCUCCGGAAAGCUCUCGUUAGCUUCCUCCUGCACGGACCGUGCACCAGCAGCA